AUGGCCGGUUGGGGAUGGUCAGUUCCAUCACACUGCGAGGAGAUGAUUCAUGGCCAGUCGGGGAGGGUCACCUGCGGUGAGCACGAGUACCUCCUCCAUAUCCUCCCUAUACUAGCACCCUUGGCGAUGAAAAUGACAGCCAGGAGAAUCCCUCCUUCACACCUCUUUUCCAUCUCUGUCAGAUUGUCCUCUCCAGCAAGCCCGAAGGCCAACCUUAAUACUGGACCUCGAAAGGGGCAUGUGGCCAACCAUGCCGGAGGACGCAGAGGAGUUGUUUGGGAAUGUUAUCAUCAGAGGACCCAAGAAGCAACCCACCACAGAUGCAUGGACCAACCACGCAAGUCCAUUCUUGCAAUCCAUCUGUGGCGAGGGUUCAUGACAGACAAGCCAAUAGAUUUAGGGGUCCACACCGUGGGAAGGUUAUGUUCAUCAAGGAGCAUGUGA
rnacentral:rRNA from 1 species